rnacentral:lncRNA from 1 species
GGAUUCAAAAUACCCAAAGAACCAAAUUUCACUUAACAAACCUUUCAACCCCAAAACCUCAAUAAUAUCGGCUCAAUUUCUCGAUUCCGCAUCAAACCUUUCUCCACUCAUAAACUACUCAAUUUCUUCUCUACAACAAGCCUUUAAGAAAUUUUUUUUUUGGAAAAGCUUUUCCUCUACAUCCUUUAGAACUAACUUAUUAAACUCAUGUAUAAUCUUAAACCUCUCAACUCUUCCAUCAUUUCACACCCAAAAUC